rnacentral:pre_miRNA from 1 species
ACGACAUUCGGAUGGUGGGUCUAAUGAGCAAUAUCACCCGCUCAGUAGAAGAUCUUACUUUUGUCUU